AACAAGACGUCGUCGACGUAAACUCACGUAUUUUUUUUUUUUACUUUUUUUAACAAAUCUCUUGGGCACAAUUUUAACCCGUUCAAUGUCAAACGGGCUCAUUAGGCAAUAGUAAACACACGCGGGCUAUUUGCGGUCCUCUUAGUCCACAUUCGUGGCGGCCUCGAGAUUGUAUCGGCGCUUAUCGGUACGCGAUCGUGCGAUUCACCCACCUGUCGCUGUUCGCCUAUGACUCAUUGCGAAACGACCAUGGUACAGAAACUCUAUGACUAUAUAUGGCAACGGGUUCGCCUAGAUAAGCACACUCCGUUUUGUUUAAUUACUCUUGACGGACGCACUUUCGCUCUACAUUUAACGCCGCCAACGUUAUAAAGAAAUAAUCGGAAGAAAGAAAAAAUAACGUAUCGUUGUAAUUAAUAUGUAAUGCGUGUGUUGUUUAAAUUGAUACAGACGGGGUAUUAAUAUUAAAAAGCAAUAAAAUAAAGAGAUGUUAAGCGAGGUCGAUUGUCGGUGGACGUGUAAUCGACAUUUCAGGCGGGCCGCGGGUUGCUCACGCGCCGGUUCUUGGGCCGCCGGCACCGCAAUAAACGCGUAAUUAAUAACGGCGAUUUCUCCCCGUUCGCUAAUGCGACAUUAAAUAUACGUUUACGAGCUUUUUCGCCAAACAUUAAGCCGAACAAAUUCAUCGAGCGCAACGGCCCCAGGCUAUUCAUUUCGUUUCGUCUGCCUUUGCACUACUUUACCGGUAUCUUUAUACAAAGAUCUAGAUUAUUUUUUUCGAAUCUAGUUGUACUGCUGUUAAUAUUGACACCUUUAAUUUUCUUUAUAAUAUGUCAGAUCAACGCUUUUUCUUUAAUUACGUUAAAAAAAUGUAUUCAUCGCAGGAGAAAUCAUUUAAUUAUUUCCACCCCUCUUUUAAACAUCCAUCAUUAAAUUCACUCAGAGAAGCUGGCUGAUUACUGCUCUUCAAAUUGAAAUCUUCGUAAUUUUUCUAUUUUUGUUAGUGUUGUUUAUAUCGUUUGUCACGAAGAAACCACAAAGGCGGGAAGGAUCUUAUGAUGUCAUCAUUUAAACUUUAAUCAUUGACAUUUUUUGGAAAAAAUAAAAUUAAUUGUUUUAUAUCUAA